rnacentral:rRNA from 1 species
UUUAAUUCGACGCAACGCGAAGAACCUUACCCAGGCUUGACAUGCAGGUGCAUACGGCGGAAACGUCGUAGCCUUCGAGGGUCCUGCACAGGUGCUGCAUGGUUGUCGUCAGCUCGUGUCGUGAGAUGUUGGGUUAAGUCCCGCAACGAGCGCAACCCCUGCCGGUAGUUACCAGUGUCUACCGGGACAGCCGCCUUGAUGGGCGGAGGAAGGCGGGGAUGACGUCAAAUCAGCAUGGCCCUUACGCCUGGGGCGACACACACGCUACAAUGGCCGGGACAGUGCGUCGCGAACCCGCAAGGGGAAGCAAAUCGUCCAAACCCGGUCCCAGUGCAGAUCGGGGGCUGCAACUCGCCCCCGUGAAGUCGGAGUU